rnacentral:lncRNA from 1 species
AUGGGUGCCAAGGCUUCGGUCCCCACCCACAGCAGAUUUAGGUAUGCACUUCGGAUGUAUUUGCAGCCCCUCUUUACUACCCCCGAAAGGAGAGUUGAAUGCAUCCCCGUGAAACUCCCCCCGCCCCAACUCUGUUUCAAGACAAACAAGAGUAAUUGGGGCACACCACCUGCGCGCGCAGCUCCAGGUCUUUCCGGCCUCCGCCCAGACAUUCCAGGUCUGCACCGCCCCACUGCUGCUUUGAUCGGGACAAAUGAAAGGCUGGACUGGCAUUUCGGCUUCACGGAGCUGAACCGCAGCAUUCCAGCAGAGGUGGAGAGUAGAGACCUCACUCAAUCUAGGAAGUCUACAAAGCCAACCUUCACCAGAUGAUCUCCUAAAUCCCUUCCUCCAAUGUCAAUGACAGACACCCAGUGCAGCCACUUUCCUGAAAGAUAGUCAUGUACAGCCCAUGUCUCGCUGACACCCUAAAGCUGGUCUACUAUCCAGGCAUCUAUAACUCAACUUGCCACAUCUGGUCAUUCAACUCCUGCACCAUACCUCAAGAGCCUGACAGGAUGUGGUUUCUCAAGUAGGCCAACGUCUUGAUGCUUUUUAAUAGUGUGGAGCCCGAGCCAAUAGGGUUUUAUGAGUAUCACAGGGAGUCACAUCCUUUGACCUGGUAUAUAAUCUGACUUCUCUGGAUCCUGGGCUAAUUACGGUGGUUCCUCUGAGCAUGGAUGAAUAGGAAACCUUCUGAUGUUUGAAAACUAAGCCCAUCAUAUUUGUUCUCUAUAUUGUGUCUUUAGCCAGCCUAGUUGGUGGGGACUGAGACCUCCUGGACACUGCAGCUUAGACUCAGUCCCUCUUGGUUGACAGUUCAGCGCUUGGAGGCUGAGGGUUUCAUUUUUUUGUUCACUGAGCAUCUCUGAUUAUGUGGUAAAUUGGAGAAAGAACAGGAGUCUGUGCUCACCAGCCUCAUCCCGCCACGGCCACGACUACGGCCACGGCCACGGCCACCCCUGUAAGCCCCAGUUACCUCAUCUUGAAGGAAACAAACUAAAACGUGGCUUUAAAAUCAGAGCAACUCUUGCAUGUUAUUGUAUGAUUUUGUUUGGAUUCAGGUGCUCUGGCUUGCUGGGACUUUUGUGCAAGGUAUUAGGUUGAAAUCAAAAGGGAAGGAUGCAGGACAGACCCGUUUCUGCAGAGCAGAUGGCUGGGCUGCAGAGAGGCUACUGAGACCCAUUCCUGCUUAGCCCCAGGAACUGGCCGGUUGCUCCUGGGAAGUACCCAGGAAGGAUCGGAGAAAUCUGCAAAUGAAGUUUAGCUCCAGACACUGGUUGCCAUAGCUGUUGGAUCAGAUCAAGAAAACGUUGCUUCAUUGGAAUUUGAGAGCCACCAAUGGUUUUGGGAAGCAGAUUCAUUUGCAGCUAUGAAUAAUAAAGACUGAUGAUACAGAAAUGUAAGUCCUCA